rnacentral:rRNA from 1 species
UUGAACGCUGGCGGCAGGCCUAACACAUGCAAGUCGAGCGGAUGAAGGGAGCUUGCUCCUGGAUUCAGCGGCGGACGGGUGAGUAAUGCCUAGGAAUCUGCCUGGUAGUGGGGGAUAACGUCCGGAAACGGGCGCUAAUACCGCAUACGUCCUGAGGGAGAAAGUGGGGGAUCUUCGGACCUCACGCUAUCAGAUGAGCCUAGGUCGGAUUAGCUAGUUGGUGGGGUAAAGGCCUACCAAGGCGACGAUCCGUAGCUGGUCUGAGAGGAUGAUCAGUCACACUGGAACUGAGACACAGUCCAGACUCCUACGGGAGGCAGCAGUGGGGAAUAUUGGACAAUGGGCGAAAGCCUGAUCCAGCCAUGCCGCGUGUGUGAAGAAGGUCUUCGGAUUGUAAAGCACUUUAAGUUGGGAGGAAGGGCAGUAAGUUAAUACCUUGCUGUUUUGACGUUACCAACAGAAUAAGCACCGGCUAACUUCGUG